UCAGACUCCACGCCCGUGGGAGUAGUGAGAGGCAUAGGAUGGGACAGAAGGAGAUGCUAAACAGUGAUGCAGAAGCAGCGAAGACCUCCGCAAUCCUGCAGGGAAGCUUGGGAGCUGGUACGGCCCUGCAGAGAUGCACUGAGGGAAGCCAAGCUGCCAUGUUGUAAGCUGCCCUAUGAAGGGACCCACAUGGCAAAGAAUGGAGAAUGACCCCAGCCAGCCAAGAACUCUCAGCCUACCGGCCCAUGAGGAACUGAAUCCUGCCAACAGCGAUGUGAGUGAACUUGGAAGUGGAUCCUUCUCCAGUGGCACCAUCAGCUCACCAUCCAGCCCGCCUGAGGCUCUGCCCACUGACAGGCUACUCCCAGGACAAUACUAGCUCCCCAGGACAAGCACUACACCCAGACGGCAUGUCAUUCAACAAGUCGGGGGCAGGCUUAAGGUGAAAAAUCAUCCCAAUUCUGGAGAUAUUAUCUGAAAAAAAAAGACUGUUUUCAGGAAACAAUCUUCCCAUCUGUGGUGAUUUUUAAAAUAUAGUUCCCAAAUUUUAUGUGGGAAAGGAAAGUAGCAAUAUAGAUGCAGGAAGAGCAUUACUGUGUGGAUAAAAAGAUGAUGUAUGCAAAUGAACAUGCUCAGCCUAGAACUUAAAUUAAAGUUACUGCCUGAUAUGGUAGGUACUGUGGUCUGAAUGUGUCCCCCAGAGUUCAUGUGUUGGAAACUUAAUCUCCAGUGCAACAAUGUUGAGCAAUGGAACCUUUAAGAAGUGACUGGGUCAGGAGAGUUCUGCCCUCAUGAAUGAAUUAAUGUCAUUAUUGCAAGAGUUAGUUAUUGCAGGAGUAGGUUCCUGAUUAAAAAGUGAGUCCACCCCCACUUCUCUCUCUUUUUCUGUCACGCACAUAUGCACUCUCUUGCCCUUCUACCUUCCACCAUGUGAUGACACAGCAAGAAGGCCCUCACCAGAUGCAGGCCUCUCAACCUUGGACUUUCCAGCCUCCAGAAUUGUAAGAAAUAAAUCUCUAUUCUUUAUAAAUUACCUAGUCUCUGGCAUUCUGUUACAGCAGCACAAAAUGAAUUAAGACAGUAGGAAAGAUCAUUGACACUGUUACAGACCUCUAAGGCAUGAUGAAAAAGCAAAUAUGCCCAUGUUUAUGCAAAUAGCAGAGUCAGUUAAAGAGGCCAUAACAUUGAUCAUAUGGGACUUCAAUAGCCCUGAAAUGGAUUAGAACAAGAAUUAUGGGAUGGUAAGGAGAGGCCACAGAGCUAGCAGUGAUCAGAAGCUCUUUUCCAGGAGACUUUGUUGAGCAAUCAAAAAGAUCAUGGGCUAUUGGGGGCAGCUAUCUGAAAAGUUGAAUGCAAUGAAGGAUGAAGGAUGGGGCUAAAAUGCUAAAAGCAGCGUUUUCAACCAAGUUGCAUUUCAAUUUAGUCUUCCCAUCUGUGGUGAUUUUAAAAAUAUAGUUCCCAAAUUGCCGGUAGCAUCUGGGGAGCAGGGUCUGUGGGCAGACACCUGCUCACCAGUGAACAUUUGGAAUGACAUUUCUGGAGGGAGGUGUCAUUGUGGCUUAGAGAUUAAUCCAUAAAGAAGACAGACUUAGGGAAUCCCAGAGUAGCAGAGCUGGGAAGCCCUCGAAGAUAACAGAGCCAAACUGCCCAGAGAGGGUAAGUGACAUACUCAAUGUCACACAGCCAGUAAUUAAUGGAGAAGGGGCUGGAACUCCACUUUUCUAAGUCUCUGUUUAGGACUGCAACAUCCCCUGGAGUGAGUGAAAGGAAAGUUCUCGAAGGAAUCUCCUCAAAAGGGAUGUAGAAUAAGAGUGAAGUUGUUGCCUCAGAAAAAAAAAAAAGUGAAAAAUGAAUAACGAUUGAUAAAUUCAGAUCUCCAUUCUCGUCAGAAAAUAAAAUUUCUGGUAAUUAUUAUCCCUCACUACCUUAGAGAAAACAAGAAGAAUGAAGAUUGUCCUAACACAAUUAUGUAAAGGCAAGUCUAAGAAAGGAGAAGGAGUUGAUUCCCAUGUAGAAGUCAACCAUCUAGGCUAACUGUUCAUCCCACCCCAAUGCCUCAAACCCAGGCUGCCCACCUAUUUAUCACACUUUUGCAGGUCUGUGAAAGUCAGCAACAAAUACCGUAUCUAUUCCAGGAGAUUGUCCUAGAGCCUCCUCAAUUUCUCUGUGGACACUAUGCCUGCUCUUGUCUCCCUGGUUCUGAUUUCCAUGUCUGCUGCCAGUUUUAACAUUGUUCCUGGCCUUCUCAUAUUAGUCACCUAAGCCCCUCCUCUUGGGCCUUGGGUCUCAGCCUCAUCUCAUCCUAACACUUCCUACUAACCUGGUGAGAAGCUCCCUGCUCUAGCUAUAGCCCGCUAAGCCUGUAUGCUGGCCUAGCUCCCAGAUGCUCUCAAGUAAAAACAAAAAAGUAGACAUUUUGUCUUGAACCCUAAGUUUCCAUGCUGGGGGGAGGGAUAAGAUUAUGACCACUAUCCAUACCCCAUCUCUUGAGAAUUUGGAGCUGUGGGACGAAAAAGAAGAACCAGAGAGUUGGCUGCAGCUGGCAGAAGAAAAAGGACAGAUGGUUCCCCACAGGAAAGGCACCAUCGGCUGAAGUACCAGCCUCACUCCUGUGGCUCCUACCUGCCAUGGUGCAGGUGCAUGUGUAUGCAUGUGUGUGUGCAUGUGUGUAUGUGUCGCCACCCUGUGAUACAGGGUUGCAAGCCCCACCUGCUUGGGCCUAUGCAAAGACCUACCAAAAAAUUCUCUCAUUUGC
rnacentral:lncRNA from 1 species